AUUCUGGUCUUUGAUCUGCUGAGUUCUUGCUGUUGUGUGCAAAGAAAGGGAGGUGGCAGGAGAAGACAGUAGAAAUAAAUAGCCUAGAGCCCAGAUAUGGGUGUCUGCUAAUCCUAAGCAGCCGGUUCGACCACCAUUUUGUCACCUAUGGCUGUAUUCCUAAGCAAGGUCAGAACUGCCUGGUCAAUUAUAUUUAGGAGCCCAACCCAGCAAGGUGCCUUUCAAAUCAAUCAGGAACACAAAGCUGGAUCAUUCUGGGAAGGCUGAGCAUCACAAGUUUCAGAAUUGUCAGAUUUGCUCCCAUCGAAGACACUAUGGACUAUUUGUCUAACUAGCCAUGAAUAAGCCUGUCAGAAAAAGAAGGUGCAACGGCAACCGAGAAAUAAGGUUCUCCUGGUCACCCCAAGAACUUCUGGCUUCAUGUUUCCUUUCCAUCUGAUGCUGACAAUGCACCACUUACCCACUGGAGUUUUCACUAUGAUGCCAUAUGCAAGCAAAAUGAAAUGUCAUCCAAGGACCCAGAGCUGCUCAGUAGAGUUUCCUGCCCUGGAGGAAGUGGCUCUAAAGCAGUGUGAGAUCUGGAGUUGAGUGUGACAGCCCAGUAGUCUCAAGAUGAAGUGUCAAGUCAGCAGACAGAGCUGCAACAGCAAAGCAGACUCUAGCCAGAAAACGACUGCUUAUGGCCCAGUGAGGUAUCCUGGGGCUCACAGCGUGGUGGGGAGAAUCAGAGCUCUACCUCUCUGCAAAUGGAUGCAGGAAAGCCCUAUCCUUUCCACACUCACCCCAGAUAGGACCUGAACUGUUAAGACUCUGGCAGACCCAAUGAGGGUGAGUGAUCAAGGGUCCUAUCUUGAUCACAGACAGUAUCACUAACAAUGCUACUAGACUCUCUUAGCUUCUCCUAAAUCCUAACUGCUAGAGAUCUUGAAACGAAACUUGGAUAAACAGACACUGGUCUGCAUUCCUUUGUGUCAUUCUGGGCUAAGCUAGAGAGAAAACUUAAUACUGGUGUAUCCAUCCACUAUUUGAAUCUUUCCCUAUUAUGGAACUAAACCGACAAGAGGCUCAAGUGGUACAAUGAUGAACAAGUCACACAGUAUCUGACCAG